CCUCAAAGUGAGCAUCCUCGCCAGCAGCAUCACCGUUAAGGCAGAGUCGACAUUUCUGGAUUUUGCCUAAUGAUUUAUCAGACUGUGGAAGGCAUUUUCGGACAGCGCAAUGAAAGAGAUGGACGAUCACUUCCCCGUGGCGACAGCUCACGGGAAUGGGACGACUACAGACGACACUCA